rfam:Ricinus communis cultivar Hale ctg_1100012333058, whole genome shotgun sequence.
UUGUUUGCGGGUGUAGCAUCAUCAAGAUUCACAUGCAAAUGCACGGUUGGUGAUGAUUAUAUGUAUGUGCUAAUGAAUCAAUCUCUUUCUCUUGAUGAUCAUGAGCCAGAGUUUGUUUUUUGAAAGUGAGAAUCUUGAUGAUGCUGCAUCAGCAAUAAA